rnacentral:lncRNA from 1 species
CUCUCUUCGUAGUUCAGGCUGGCCUUGAACCCACUACAGAUCCCAGGCUGGCUUUGAACUUGCAGCAGGCAAGCCUCCUGCCUCAGCUUCUCGAGUGCUGGGAUCACAGGUGUGCAGCCCCAGGCCCAGCAGUUGUGGACUUCAUAUGACUUGUGCCUCUCUUCUACUGUGACUCUGAGAGCUAUGCAGUGAAAAGCAAUUUUCAGCCAGCAGUACAAUGCAAACAGUAGCUCCUAUUAUACAUGUGUGGCCGAUCAUUCUGGAAAAGCAGCUUAAAUCACGUGGACGGAGGGAGGUGACCCCUUGUCAUGAGACACAGGCCCCCGGGUGUAAAGUGUAGUAACCAAAGAGUGGUGCUCAGGAAAUAGGGAAGGCACAAGAAAUACUUUGCAACUCACGAGGAUGAAGAGCAGUAUAUAUUCUUGAAAGUCGCCAUUUCUUCAAGUGUGACGUGCCUAGAGGAAAGUGUGUCUUCACCAACGAGACACACCUGUGUGACCAGCGUUACGGGCUGGGAGUCAGCGUAGGGACAGAGCAUGUGCUUAGUAUGUGCAGGCCCUGAGCUCAGUCUCCAACUUUAGAAGAAAAAAGAAAAGAAGAUCUGGAUGUUGUGGUGCGUUCCUGUGAGCCUACCACUCAGAAGGCUGAGGCAGGAGGAUCUCCAUGAGUUCAAGCCCAGCCUGAG